rnacentral:rRNA from 1 species
GCUUGUCUCAAAGAUUAAGCCAUGCAUGUCUAAGUAUAAGCAAACUUGUACUGUGAAACUGCGAAUGGCUCAUUAUAUCAGUUAUAGUCUACUCGAUAGUACCUUACUACUUGGAUAACCGUAGUAAUUCUAGAGCUAAUACAUGCGUCAAGUCCCUACCGCGCGAGCGGGAAGGAUGUGUUUAUUAGAUACAACCAACCCUUCGGGUCCCUGGUGAAUCAUAAUAACCGAACGAACCGCAUGCUUCGGCGGCGGUGGUUCAUUCAAGUUUCUGCCCUAUCAGCUUUCGAUGGUAGGGUAUUGGCCUACCAUGGCGUUAACGGGUAACGGAGAAUUAGGGUUCGAUUCCGGAGAGGGAGCCUGAGAGAUGGCUACCACAUCCAAGGAA